rnacentral:sRNA from 1 species
GCUGGGCGCGGUGGCACAUGCCUGUAAUCCCAGCAGCUCAGGAGGCUGAGGUAGGAGGAUCACCAGCUCAAAGCCAGCCUCAGCAAAAGCGAGACCCUAAACAACUCAGUGAGACCCUGUUUCUA